AUGAACGCUGGCGGCGUGCCUAAUACCUGCAAGUCGCGCGAACAGACGAGGAGCUUGCUCCUCUGACGUUAGCGGCGGACGGGUGAGUAACACGUGGAUAACCUACCUAUAAGACUGGGAUAACUUCGGGAAACCGGAGCUAAUACCGGAUAAUAUAUUGAACCGCAUGGUUCAAUAGUGAAAGACGGUUUUGCUGUCACUUAUAGCUGGAUCCGCGCCGCAUUAGCUAGUUGGUAAGGUAACGGCUUACCAAGGCAACGAUGCGUAGCCGACCUGAGAGGGUGAUCGGCCACACUGGAACUGAGACACGGUCCAGACUCCUACGGGAGGCAGCAGUAGGGAAUCUUCCGCAAUGGGCGAAAGCUUGACGGAGCAACGCCGCGUGAGUGAUGAAGGUCUUCGGAUCGUAAAACUCUGUUAUUAGGGAAGAACAAAUGUGUAAGUAACUAUGCACGUCUUGACGGUACCUAAUCAGAAAGCCACGGCUAACUACGUG
rnacentral:rRNA from 1 species